GCCGGCAUAGCUCAGUUGGUAGAGCAACCGCCUUGUAAGCGGUAGGUCCCCAGUUCGAAUCCGGGUGCCGGCA
rfam:Xanthomonas sp. Mitacek01 contig_17, whole genome shotgun sequence.